CCAUCUUGUUAGAGGAAGGACUUGCGAUUCGCCACAUGGAACUGACGAUCGGCGGCGCGCACACUGUCCUAGCUACCCGUCGAUCUAGGCGGCGUACUGGCCGGUGGCGGAGUGCGGCGAGCCGGCAAGAGGCCGACCAGAUAUAUGGCAAGCGGCUGGGCCUCGACUCCGGCCAGUGACAGUCACAAUCGAAAGCACAAGCACGAGGGCCAAAGCGGCGACUCCCUCACCGGAAUUACAUCUAGCUGCGACGGGGGUGCGACAACUAGGAAUUCACAAGUGGAAUCGCAGCAAAGCCUACAUCAAAGGGAUGAACAUAAACAUCGGAGCUUGGACUUUUUCUAGUAUAAUAAACGUCGAAUUGUUUAAGAAAAUUAUUUGUUAUUGUAUCUAAUGUUUUUAUGUACUUCUACGUUAUAUGAAAAAGAAGUGCAUAUACUACA